CAGCCGCCGCGGGAAUACGAAGGGGGCUAGCGUUGUUCGGAAUUACUGGGCGUAAAGCGCACGUAGGCGGAUAUUUAAGUCAGGGGUGAAAUCCCAGAGCUCAACUCUGGAACUGCCUUUGAUACUGGGUAUCUUGAGUAUGGAAGAGGUGAGUGGAAUUCCGAGUGUAGAGGUGAAAUUCGUAGAUAUUCGGAGGAACACCAGUGGCGAAGGCGGCUCACUGGUCCAUUACUGACGCUGAGGUGCGAAAGCGUGGGGAGCAAACAGGAUUAGAUACCCGAGUAGUCCCUGUCUCUUAUAC
rnacentral:rRNA from 1 species